rnacentral:rRNA from 1 species
GGCUUAGAGUUUGAUCCUGGCUCAGAUUGAACGCUGGCGGCAUGCCUUACACAUGCAAGUCGAACGGCAGCACGGGAGCAAUCCUGGUGGCGAGUGGCGAACGGGUGAGUAAAGUAUCGGAACGUGCCCAGUCGUGGGGGAUAACGUAGCGAAAGUUACGCUAAUACCGCAUACGAUCUAUGGAUGAAAGCGGGGGACCGCAAGACCUCGCGCGAUUGGAGCGGCCGAUAUCAGAUUAGGUAGUUGGUGGGGUAAAGGCUCACCAAGCCGACGAUCUGUAGCUGGUCUGAGAGGACGACCAGCCACACUGGGACUGAGACACGGCCCAGACUCCUACGGGAGGCAGCAGUGGGGAAUUUUGGACAAUGGGCGCAAGCCUGAUCCAGCCAUGCCGCGUGCAGGAUGAAGGCCUUCGGGUUGUAAACUGCUUUUGUACGGAACGAAAAGGUUUGGCCUAAUAAGUUGAGCUCAUGACGGACCUAAGCCGAAGCCC